UAAGAAAUAACAAAGAACUGAAUUGCUCCAUAAACAGCUUAACAGUUAAACCACAGUCGCCCGAAGAUAUCAUAAUUAUAGCGAAAAAAUGGGGGAAAUAAAAUAUUUUUAGUAGUAUUAUAUAGAAUAAUAGCUCAUUUGUUCGCUAUAAUUAUAAUAUCUUCAGGCGACUGUGAUCAAACCCCUUGCCCCCCCCCCCCCCCCCCUCAUUAUUAUAACAUUUUUGCGUGAGCCCCUGAGGGUUCAUGCAUAUUUCUUAGUUAGAAAUAUGGUCUAUGGAGGAAUAUUCGGAACCUAAAAUAUUGUUUAUUCGGAACAUUUAUUCUUCUUAUCUGCAGGGGCGGAUCCAGGAUUUUUGGUUAGGGGGGGGCGCAAACUUAAAUUUCCGCCGAGCGGAGCGAGGCGAAAUUUUUUUUGAUGUAUUAUUAUCGAAAUUAUUGAAAUAUUCUUCUAGAGAGGGUGCUAUGUAGAUAUCUUGACAAGCGUGGCGAGAAAUAAAUAUUUUGUGGUAAAAGUAGCGAGAAAUUUAAGUUUCAAGCUAAACCCGCAUAAAUCCACCCCUGACAAUCUGCAAUCACCAUAAUUAACAAGAAAUCUGCGAGCUUCUAUUCAUUGACUCAAUAAUAGCUCACCGACCAAUAUAAG
rnacentral:lncRNA from 1 species